UACGUAGGGUGCAAGCGUUGUCCGGAAUUAUUGGGCGUAAAGAGCUCGUAGGCGGUCUGUCGCGUCGGCUGUGAAAACCCGGGGCUCAACUUCGGGCUUGCAGGCGAUACGGGCAGACUUGAGUGUUUCAGGGGAGACUGGAAUUCCUGGUGUAGCGGUGAAAUGCGCAGAUAUCAGGAGGAACACCGGUGGCGAAGGCGGGUCUCUGGGAAACAACUGACGCUGAGGAACGAAAGCGUGGGUAGCAAACAGG
rnacentral:rRNA from 1 species